UCGGUGGCAAAAGCCACCUACCCUUUCUCUCUUAAUCUCUUACACGUGCUCUCUCUUGAUACAUUUAUGCUUUUUCUUCCAGAUCUUUCUUCAUCUGCUCUAACUAUCUGCCUUUCUUCCCAUCGAUUCACUGCUCACUUGAUCCAUCGUCUUCACCGCUGCAUCAUCUUUUCAUAUUCUUUGUGCAGGAUUGGACGCUUCUGUCUACACCGUCGCUUUACCGUAUGCCUAAUGUUGUUUUGCUAGAAGAUUGUGUUGGUUGCUGGUUGUUGUGCAGGAAUGCAUUUUCGAGUUUAUCAGCUUUAUCACUAGCGAACGAAUAUGAUUCAGACCUGUCUUGCGUCUCUGAAACCCGCUGAUUCAUGUGGCAGUUGCAUCAUCCCCGUUCCUUUCAAACAAUCACAUCUAAAAUCAGCAAGAAAUGAUCGUGAUCAUCAUGAAUCUUCGAUCCAAUUUUCUACAAUAAUGAGAUUUGUCACAGUUACAGUUGCUAGAAGAUGGUCGAGGUUCGGCUAACGCAAUUUUGGACUUAGGUGUUUUGGGGGCCAACCAACCGGUGCCUAAGUUACCCGUUUUGACCCGCUGCCGAACGGUCCCAUUUUACCACCUCCAUUGUUUGACAAAUACCCCACAGGCGUGGGUUUGUUCCCGCAUGUAGAUACCCAUUCAACAUUUGAGGGCUCAAUUUAUAGCCUUUCAUUAUUAGGAUCUUGCAUUGUGGAGUUUAGAGCAUCUGUUGGUGUUAGAGAUACAAGUAGUCCAAAUUUCGUUAGGAAGGCUAUUUAUCUUCCCGUUCAAUCAAUGAUCUUACUUUCUGGAGCAGGAAGAUAUGCUUGGCAACAUUAUAUCCCCCACCAACACCAAUAAGGUACUUUAUGUAAGUUUUUAGCUUUUAUUUGCAUUUUUUGUGAUAUAUUGCUGCUAUGUAACAAUGCAAUCAUGUCACACCCCGAUUUCCACGUGUCUCACCGGUGGGCCCGGUGGGGGAUUACCGUGACGAUG